CUCCCUGCUGUCAAUCAAUCCUGACGUCACAGUACCAUGUGACCCUGGAGAGCAGCGGAAGGGAAAUCCCGUUACACAGCUCAAGUGGAACAAUAAUACUAGUACAGGCAUUGGACACCUUAUCCAGAAACCCGUUAUCCACACAGUUCAGAAUAACAUAAAGUAAUUUUUGAAAAAAGAACUUUAUUGUGAAUGGUUUCUGAAAGGCAUGGCAGGCUCUCAAGCAGACUUUGACACUGACUCAGAGGCAUGGAACAGCUUAACUAAGGAAGAGAGGCUUCCGACUCUGCCUGUGUCCACUGAAAUUCAGGGACUGUGUUGCCUGGUCUGCACAAACAUUAUCAGUUUGAGUGGAUGCCUCAAUUAGGAUUUUUUUUUACUUAUUACUACGUUUACGUUUGGAAGGCCCGGAUACAGGCUGAUGAGUUUCAGUUCCAGAUGACUCUUCCAAUGAACAAGUUGAAGAACUAUAACUAUGCCUCUGAAAUGAGUCAUGUCCAAACAAUGUUGAAACUGCAGAAGGAAGAAGGACCUUUUUAUCACCUUUAAUGAUAUAACUGUCAUCUGUAAAGUGUUUAGAACAGAUCCUAUAGUUAUCAUUUUUUUUGGUUUGCAGUAUUUUCUGGGACAAAACUUCAAUGUCCUCAGUUGAAUAUUGUUGCAUUUUCAUAAGCCAUUCUUUAAUCCUAGAAAUGUUUUUCGGAAAAACAUGAAGAAUCACGUUUUCCUUUAUUUUUUUUCUACCGGUCCAGCUAUGGCACUCUUUAACUAAGCAGGAAGGCAUUAUUUUGGUUUUGAGUCCUGAAAAAAGAGAAGAAUUUGUUUUCAGUGAAUGCAAAUAAAAUUUUAUUUGAAACUA